CGGUCGACUCUGCGUCGUCGAGCAGGUCGGUCUCGCCGAAAUACUCGCCUUCACCCAGAAGGGCAAUCCUCAGUUCCUCGCCAUGGGGACCUUUGCUGAUGACCUCGGCCUGACCGGCGGCCACGAUAAAGAAGCGCUGCUUGUCUUUGCCCUCUUCCACGAAGAGUUGUCCGUAGGCUACUUCCUGUGUCUCGAAACUCCUUGCCAGACGGUUGACGAUCUCAUCGUCGAAUCCGGAGAACAGCGGGAUGGCCUUGAGGCUCUUGGCUGAGAACGAGGGCACACCGUUGAGGUAUUGGAUAGGCAGCCUUUCGCUCUUUUUCAGUUCCACUUUUGUGCGGUUGACCCUGAACGUUCCUCCUGAGACCUGCACCCAUGGUAGCAGUUUAAGGAGCAGUCGGGGGGUGAUACUCCCCAUUUGCGGGGCUGUCUUUGUGGUGGUGGCCAGUCUUCUGGCUGUGGCAGUGGUCA
rnacentral:antisense_RNA from 1 species